rnacentral:rRNA from 1 species
GACGAACGCUGGCGGCGUGCUUAACACAUGCAAGUCGAGCGGUAAGGCCCUUUCGGGGGUACGACGAGCGGCGAACGGGUGAGUAACACGUGGGUGACCUGGCCUCAGCUCUGGGAUAAGCCUGGGAAACCGGGUCUAAUACCGGAUAUGACUCCAUGACGCAUGUUGUGGGGUGGAAAGCCUUGUGCGGCUGAGGAUGGGCCCGCGGCCUAUCAGCUUGUUGGUGGGGU